rnacentral:rRNA from 1 species
AUUGAACGCUGGCGGCAUGCUUUACACAUGCAAGUCGAACGGUAACAGGCCGCAAGGUGCUGACGAGUGGCGAACGGGUGAGUAAUGCAUCGGAACGUGCCCAGUCGUGGGGGAUAACGCAGCGAAAGCUGCGCUAAUACCGCAUACGAUCUAUGGAUGAAAGCGGGGGACCGUAAGGCCUCGCGCGAUUGGAGCGGCCGAUGUCAGAUUAGGUAGUUGGUGGGGGAAAGGCUCACCAAGCCAACGAUCUGUAGCUGGUCUGAGAGGACGACCAGCCACAUUGGGACUGAGACACGGCCCAGACUCCUACGGGAGGCAGCAGUGGGGAAUUUUGGACAAUGGGCGCAAGCCUGAUCCAGCAAUGCCGCGUGCAGGAAGAAGGCCUUCGGGUUGUAAACUGCUUUUGUACGGAACGAAAAGGCUCUGGAUAAUACCUGGGGCUCAUGACGGUACCGUAAGAAUAAGCACCGGCUAACUACGUGCCAGCAGCCGCGGUAA